GAGGAGGGUCGUUGAGGCGACGUCCGAGCUGGUCAACAGCGACAGGGGCUGCUGUACGCCCGGCCCCGCCAUACAGCUCUGUAGGUUCUGUGAUUGCUAUUGUUGCAGUGAUGAGGCUGUGGAGGAGCAGCUGGACAGCGGAGACGACGACGUGGAGGUGUGGAGGAGGAGGUUGGUGGUGGUGGUGGUGGAAGGGGAAGA